rnacentral:lncRNA from 1 species
UGAAUUUAAAUUAUUUAAUCCAACUUAAACAAGAAACAUGAAAUUAACAGCUAAGUCCUAGACCUUCACGUACAAGAAAUUAUAUAAACCCUUCUUGGUUAUUCAUACAGCACAACACACUUAAUUUCAAAACAACAAAAACAAAUAAAUCACCAAGUGAAAUCAAUAAAAUGGCUUCACCAAUGAAAUUCAGCAUGGUUAUAGCUUGUGUUUUGGUUUUGGUUAUGGUUGUUGCAGCUCAAAACAAUGGAGAAGAUGGGAUAAAUAUCAAAGUGUCUAACGAUAUGCCAGGAAUGGUAAUGGCUCCUGCACCAACACCAAAAUCAUCUGCUUCUCUACCAACCCUCACUUAUUCUGCUGCCAUCCUCAUUUUCCUUCCUUUUAUGCUUUCCUUUUUUUAGUCAAAUGAGUGGAUUUGAAUUUUGUUAACUCUUACAUGUUCUUGAUAUUAUUGUAUGUGUUGUGUUGGUGUGUUUUAAACACCUAUUGUGAUUAAAGGACUAGCCUUUAAGUUGUUGUGUACUUGAAGCUAUAUUUAUAUGGAAUAAAGGAAAUUGUUAACUUUGCUAAUGUUACUUGUAUUGAUUCAAGUAUAUAUUUAAAUGUUAUAUCCAAGGCUUGUUUUUCUUAUAAGAUUUUUUCUCAAAUACUAAAUUGUGUCUUACAAUUCUUAUAAGUUUUUGAUUAGGCGUAUUUUGUACAUGGUUACAAUUUCAAAAAUGAAAAGUUGAAAUCAAUAUGAACAUAAAUGGACGCGUAAAUUACAUUUCCCUUAUCUUUUAUAUUAAAAUUUACACUAUUCUCUCCGCUUAUUUUAAAAUGGUUUAAUACAUGCUUUGGUCCCUUAACUUAUUUUCGGAUUUUAUUUUGGUCCCCUAACUAUAAAGUGUCUCAAUUUGGUCCCUUAUGUCUUCUGCCGUUACCUAUUUUGGUCCUCUCCGUUAUAUUUUAAUUGUUUGAUCUAUUUUUCAAAUAGAAACCGUUGGAUCAUGUAGGUUUAUUGUAGCCUACGGUGCAUGAUUAACACCUGAUUUUUUUGAAGCAAAAAAUAUAUAAAAAAUUCAUAUUUUAAUUAUUCCAGAUUUUUUUUUUCAAAAUUAAAAAAAUUGAAAUUUUUUAUUUUUUUACGAAAUUUUUAAAAAAGGUCAGUUUUUUUUCGAAAAAAAAAGGUUUUUUUUCGAAAAAAAAAGGUUUUUUUUUAAUUUUUUCCUACAAAAUAUUUUAAUUUUUAAAAAUCUGGAAAAAUAUAUAAAAAAUUCAGAUUUUAAAAUUAGAAGAAAAAAAAUAUUCCAGAAUUUUUAUAAAAUCUUUUCUAAGAUUUAAAAAUUUAAUUUUUUACGAAAUUUCCAAAAAAAAAUGUUUUUUAAAAUUUUUUCUGCAAAAUUCUGGAAAAUAUUUUAAUUUAAAAAAUCCAGAAUUCUGAAUUUAAAAAUGUUAUAAAAAAGGUCAUAUUUUUUUUCGAAAAAAAAGGUUAUUUUUUUCUACAAAGUUCUGGAAAAUAUUUUAAUUUUGAAAAAUAUAUAAAAAAAUUCAAAUUUUUAUAAAAUAUGAAAAAAAGUUAUUCCUGAAUUUUAUAAAAUCUUUUUCAAAAUUUGAAAAAAAAUAAUUUUAUUACGAAAUUUAAAAAAAAACGGUCAGAUUUUUUUUUAUUUUUUUCUACAAAAUUCUGAAAAAUAUUUUAAUUUUUAAAAAUAUGGAUACAAAUUAUUUUAAAAAUAUAUAAAAAGAUGUAGAUUGAUGGUGAUUUUAAAUUUAUAUUUUUAGGAAAAUCAAGAAAAUAGAAAUGAUUAUAUGUUGUGAGUCCAUUGUAUACUUGUGUACUUUUCAAAUCUAGCCCUUGAUUUCAAUCUUAAAUGACAUGUGGACAAAAGUUAACUAUUUUUGAAAACAAACUAACAGAGAGGACCAAAAGAGGUAACGGCAGAAGACAUAAGGGACCAAAUUGAGACACUUUAUAGUUAGGGGAUCAAAAUGAAAUCCGAAAAUAAGUUAAGGGACCAAAGCAUGUAUUAAGCCUUUUAAAAUAUACACUCUCGCCUAUCUUAAACUACACUUUUCUAUUUUGACUAAAAUGAUAUUUUACUCACUCUAAAAAUGCAAGUUAUUCUUCGAUUCCUUUCACGUUUAAAGCUCUGGGAGUCUAACUCAUCAUCACAAAACCGGCUUGUGAGGUGAGGAUUGCCUCCUCUUUAUAAACUCUUCUCAAGAGUCGUGUCUAUCCGAUGUGGGACUCGGAUUUCUCCUAAUACACCUCCCUCACGCCCAGCACUCUUUGGGGCUUGGUGCGUGAAUAGGUAGGCGACCCUUGAAUUCGACAAGCUCUGAUACUAGAUUGAAAUUUUAUAAACUCUUCUCAAGAGUCAUGUCUAUCCGAUGUGGAACUCGGGUUUCUCCUAAUAGCUCUCUACAACCAACCUCUCUUCACGUACCCUCUAUUCACAUGCUCCUUUCAUAAAAUAACCUCUAUUAACCUUACUCAUGUAGAACCUCCCUUCACAUUAAAUGUGUCUCUCAACUUCUCCACCUACUUUAUAAAUACAAGUUAACUCCAAACUCCUUUACACUAUAAAACCUCUAUACAACACCUAUUCACCUGUAAACUCCUUUCAAAUUCUCUUCACAUACAAAUAAUUAAGUUCCCUUCAUUAUUUUCUCUCUAAAUGCACCAUAUGCUCAUUUCAAACUUCACAAAUCAAGAAUGAGAUUGUUUUAUUUUUUAUUUUUUUAUUUUAUCUAUUAUAAAGAUUGUUUCCUCUUUUAACCAACACUAAUGAUUUAAUAUUGGUAUAAUAGUGGCGUUAUCCUAAUAUUAAGAUUGUUUCCUCUUUUAACCAUCAAGAAUUUGACAUUACUUUUGGUGGGCCUUCUUACCAAUAACAAUUGAUGUCAAAAUAAUUGAAGGUUUGAAAAAUGAAUGCUACAUUUUAUUUGAUUUAAUUUAAAUUUGUAUAUAACUUUUUUUUUUUGAACAAAAAAUUUGUAUAUCACUUGAUAGCAUAUUGAGAAAAUAUAAGAGGGUUAGCUGCACUGCACUAAAUAUGUAGGAAGCUAAUAUUUUUAUUUUCUUUCAUAGGUGUUUUAUCUUAACAAAAUUGAUUAAGAAAUCAAAAUAAUAUAAAUCAAUUGAACUCAAUUCGAGGGGGGAUUGUUCAGGUCUGGGUUUAAAAUUAGACGAAAGAGUAGUUAUUAUUUUAACAAUUAAUUACUAACAUUUGUUAUAUAAAAAGAAAACUCAAUUCGAGUAAUGUUAUAGCAACAUUUACUUUAACACACUUUUCGACACUAACUUGUUAAUUGUAUGAAACUAGUAUUAAACCCGUGCGUCGCACGGAUUAUUGAAUUUGAUUUUCAAAAUAUUUACCAAAUAGUAUUGGGUAUAAAAUGAAUAAGGAUCAAAUUUUUUUAAAAAUUUAAUAAUAGAUAUUUAAAAAUAAAAUGAAACAUUUGCUCGGUGUGCACAAUAAAUAUACAUCUAUGAUUGAAUAAACGUAAUGACGUUACUCGUGCACAAUCGAGUAAAUCAAAUCGAUUCAUAAAGACUCUCAACAAAAAGCGGAACAAUUUUUUCGAUUUCAAAAGUUACUUUACCUUAUAUGAUGUUUCAUUCCUUGAGUGCGAAACCGUGUUGUUCGCGUUCUUAUUAAAUUUAGGUGAAAGUUACUUUACCUUAUAUGAUCCUCAGAAAAUCGUGUUGCUCGUUGUCUUGUUAAAUAUUAAUUUUUAAUUCUCAUCUUAUUACGAUGUUGAUUUCAUUUUUAUUUAAAAAUUACGGAUUCAAUCAGUGAUCUAAAUAAAAUACAUGGGCAAUCAAUCAAUUUAAACAUAUGUGUAUUAUAUUCUUUUUGUUAAGAUGUAUGCUUUGAUACAACUCAACUAAAAGUCAAGUACCAAAAUGGUGGAACCCAUUUUCAAAAUAUUUAAUCUAAUAAAAUAAUGAGUAUCGAAAGUAGAAUGAAAGUUGUUAGCAAAAUUCAAUUCACAAUAUUAAAUAAAUUGAUCAUUUAAAAAAAAAAAGAAGCGAUUAUUUAAUAUUGUGAAUUAAUCCCUUUAUUUAAUAUUGUGAAUCGAGUAAUGCUAACAACUUUCACGUGCAUGCACACAUGUAUUUACCACACAACUUUGUAUGAAUAAGCAGUGUCCCUUUUUCUUAUUUUGUUAGUGGGGAAUGUCCACAUUUUACGGUUAAUUAUGAAUUAAUAAGUUAAAGAAAAUUACACUUUUUUCUUUUAGAGAUGAUUGAAUCAUAUUCUCCUAACUUUGUAAAUUAAGAUAUAGGGUUGUGUUAAGUGCCUUAGGGACACUUUUUAAGAAGAUAAAAAUAGAAAUAAGUGAUAAAUUUAAGGUAAAAAAAGUCAAUUUUUAGAGCUUAGAGGUAUUAAAUGUAUAAUUUCUAAGAUAAAGUUUUUUUUUUGAACUUCUUAUCAAGUGUCCUUAACACACUUGUUAACCAUUAGUACUAAUGCAGUUGGAUUAAAUCCCAAAGUUUAUACUCAAUGUAAUAUCCCAGACUGCUUUCAGGAUUGCCGACUGACCCCACAAACCAACACGAGUCUUUUCAACGUAUUUUGUCCUCACUCGCACGCUUACCGGGAAACUUCCCGGUAGGUCAUCCAUCCCAAAAUUGCUUCAAGUCAAGCACGUUUAAUUGUGGAGUUCUUAUGGAAUGAGAUACCAAAAAGAAGAUGCAUCUUGUUGAUAUUGGUAGUACCAACAAUUCUUAUAAGCAUAUUCCUUCAACCAUGUAGUCCCAUACCUACACAGCCUAAUGAUCCCUCUCAUUCCGAUGUGAUUCGGUUCCUCUAAAAACUGUCGGGAGCCGCUCAUUAUCGUGCCUUGUGCACCGGCGACCACUCCCCGUCCUCGUCAGCCUUGGGUGUUACAUAACCUCCAAACUUGGUUGUUUUUCAAACUUGCAACAUUUAUGAUGAAGAUUUCAUUAGCUUGCAAUAUUAUACAACAAAUGUGUAAAACAUCAUCAUGAAUAUAUUUCUGUAAUUUAGCCAUAUUCUUCUUUCCCCUAACAAAUCGCAAUGAUAAAAACAAAGCAUCAAUUCAUUCUUAUAUUUAUUGCAUCUAUCUAUUAGUUAUAAACAAGAAGCAUGAUAGUAACAAAGUCCUAUGCCACCUAGCACCUUAUUAAUUAUUCUCUCUUGUUUGUUUAUUCUAUAAGAAAGAAUCAAUUAGCCGAACCUAUAUAAUCUUUCACCACUAUUUAUAUUAAUUCUCCAUUUUGGUACAAACAUCAAAGAAAUUAAUUAUUAUAAUCAAGUGCAUAUAUUCAACAAUGGCUUUAUCACUCAAGUUCAAUGUGUUUGUAGCAUGUCUUUUGGUUUUAAUUGCAGUUGCUGCUGCUCAAUAUGGAUCAGGUGGUUCUGACUAUGAUGCAAAUGCUCCCUCUGCCUCUCCACGAAGCCUUAGCUAUCCUACAACCAUCAUUGUUCUUCUUCCUUUUGUGCUUACUUUUCUUGCAGCCAAAUUGAAUGUUUGAAUUUAAUUUUAUAUAAACAAGCUUCCCUCUUUGUCUUGUCUUAAUUUCUAUUUGUAUUUUAUUGUUUUGAUGGGCACCUUAUUGAAGGACCAUCCUUCAUAUCAUAAGUUUGUUGUUUUUAUUUAUUAUUAAUCAUGUUGUGUCCUUGAAAUUAUAUUAUAUGUAACCCAAUAAAUCUAUUUCUGGCAAUAUAUAUUUAUAUUCCAUUAGAGUUGUUUCUUUAAGAUAGCUACAUGUCUAAAUUAAUGGUGAGAUUAACAAAAUUACGAUGAGCCUCUCCAACAGUGGCGAAGCUCGCCAAUUUUGUACAUGGUGGCAAAACAUAAGUAUUUUUUUUGAAAAAAAAUUAAUAUAUUAAAUGUAAUUCAUAAGAAAAAAAAAUCACAAUCAUUUUACUUAAAAUAAAAUAUAAAUUAAAGUAACACAAAGAAAACUAUUUAUUAAAAAAAAUAAACUUAACAACACUUCAAAGAGUCAAAUUCAUUUGUAAUUGACCUUAUCCAUAUUUACAAUUUAAACAACUAGGUAAUUUUAUUUUUUAGUUUAUCUUUACAAUUUUCAUUGCUGAUAAUAUUAUCUUUUUAGUUGCUUAAGAUAUCCAAAAUAAGACAAAAUAAAUCUUUUAAACAAAUGGUAAUAUUUUAUUUCUCUUAAUUUUGCACAAAUAAACUUAUUUGAGGUAGCCCGAUAUAUUUUAUUGGGAUAGCCAAACACAAAAUACACUUACUAAUACAAAUAAAAUUAUAAUUUUUGGGGUUGCCAAAGCUACCCCUCUCUAUAAGGUAGCUACGCCCCUGCUCUCCAAAUUAUACAGAUGAUACAUUUCGUAACUUCAACAAAAUUAUGAUACCACCGUGAUUUUGUCAAAAUGAUUAUCGUCAAUCCAAAAUAUACUAAAAUGUAUUUCAUAGAUAUUAAGGGUGAAAGUCAGGAAUCAAAAUAACUUGGUUAUAUUGUUAAUUAUCAAAGGAUGAUAUUUAAUUUUGGUCUAUAAAUAUAUAUUGAUUAGAAGGAAAUAUGUUUGAGCAUAAGUUUAUAAGAAUAUCCAACUCAAAAGAUUAAUCUAUUAUACGUGAAAAAUGACCUAAUAAAGCUUGAAUAAACCAAAAGGAUAAAUCUAUUUUUAGACUAGACUUUUCAAUGUAGGCAUUUCAACAAUGCAACUGCGUACAUUCCCUUCGAGAGCAUAUAUCAUUGAUAGCUUUUACUCUACGACACAUUACUUUGUGAAACUUUACUCGAUUUUAUCUUGACUGAUCAUAAGUCUACACUUAGCACAAGUGUUAGGAGCAUGGAUUCAAAAGAAAAAGCUCAUCCCAGAAAAUUAAUCUAUAACAUGAAAGAACCAUUUAACAUAAGUUUCAUUUUUUAUACGAGACGACCCAAUGUGUAACUCCUAUAAAGAAAAUAGUUAUUGUUACGAGAGAAAUUUAACAAGGGAUGCAAGAAUUCCAUGUGACGAGACGACUCAUAAUUUCAUGCAUUAAUUAUUUUCCUAACAAAUGCGAAAGAAAACAACUUUUAUGUUCUUUUGGUAGAAUAACAAAGGAAAAAAAAAAACAUCUUUACGUAAUCACUCAUGCAAUUUACCUUUACUAAAAAAAAAA